AUAUUGUAUUAUGCUGGGAGGGCAUAUCCGCCGAAUUUAAGCAUAUAAUUAAGCGGAAGAAAAGAAAAUAACAAUGAUUCCUUUAGUAACGGCGAGUGAACAAGGAAAAGCUCAAAAGGAAAAUCCGCUUUGUGGUGAAAACUACAGUGUGGAAUUGUCUGGUUGGGGUUUAGUCCUCUCUAUGUUUUUGUUGGGAGCGAAAUGAGUAGGAAUACUAUUCCUUAGAGGGUGAAAGGCCCGUAGUUCCCUACAAUUAUAGAUGGACUAUUCUCUGUAGAGUCGUGUUCUUUGAGAUUGGAGCACAAAUGUGUGUGAUACAUUUCACAUAAAGCUAAAUAUUUGUAGGAGACCGAUAGCAAACAAGUACCGUGAGGGAAAGAUGAAAUAGUACUCAGGAAUGAGGUUUAAAUAGUACCUGAAAUCGUUAAGAUGGAACGGAUUGAGAGAGAAAUAACGUAAGAUGGGAUUUAUUUCUAUGCUCCUACUGGAGCCAUGCUUUAACUCCUAUCUUAUUAAAAGGAGCAUCAGUGAAAUUUGGCAUUUGCAUUAUAAUUAAAGGGUUAUUUUUGCUUCGGCAACGAUAUCGCAUCUCCUUCCGCUAAUCUGGUUGGAGAAAUAAUUAUUAUUGCUUGCUAUAUUUACUGAGGUAAUCAAUUGGCAGGGCUUGCCCCGCUAAUUUAUGUUGCUUCUAAACAGUACUUUCUUAACCCACUCGUCUUGAAACACGGACCAAGGAGUCUAACAAAUGUGCGAGCGUAUAUAUGUUACGAACUAUAACAAAGAAUGAAAAUUCUUCUAUUUACGCGUAAUUAAUGUAAUUUUGGUAGAUUUUUAGGGGUCUUCCCCUAAUUUGCAUACCAUGCCGGUUGGCGAUUACGCUUAAUUGAGUAUGAGUAUAUUUGUUAGGACCCGAGAGGCUUUGAACUAAGCGUGAUGAGAUUGAAGUCAGACGAAAGUCUGAUGGAAGAUCGAAUUGAUACUGACGUGCAAAUCGUUCAUUUCAAUCACGUUUAGGGGCGAAAGACUAAUCGAAAGGCCUAUUAGCUGGUUAUUUUCGAAAGAUUUCUCAGGAUCGCUGGAGUUGAUUAAUAUAGUUUUACGAGGUAGAGAUAAUGAUUAGAGGAAUCAGGGAAAUCGUUUUCCUUGACCUAUUCUCAAACUCCCAAUACGUAAUAAGGGAUUAAUAACUUAAUUGUAUUUUUCCCACUAUAAAUAAAAUAACUCCAAGUGGGCCAUUUUUGGUAAGCAGAACUGGCGAUGAGGGAUGCUCCUAACGCUUGGAUAAGGUGCCUAAAUAUUCGCUCAUGAGAUCCCAUAAAAGGUGUUGGUUCAUAAUGACAGUAGGACGGUGGUCAUGGAAGUCGAAAUCCGCUAAGGAGUGUGUAACAACUCACCUACCGAAUGAACUAGCCCUGAAAAUGGAUGGCGCUAAAGCGGAUUACCGAUACCAAGCCAUAGAAAGAGAUUUAAGGGUUAUUUGGGUUCCCCCGACUAAUCUUUUUUUGAAUCUUUCUAUGAGUAGAAAAUCGUGGGGUUUGUGUAGAAGCAAGAUGCGUGAGCUCUUGUGGAACAUAUCCCUAGUGCAGAUCUUGGUGGAAGUAGCAAUUAUUCAAAUGAGAACUUUGAAGACUGAAGUGGAGAAGGGUUUCUUGUCAACUGUGAUUGUACAAGAGUUAGCCGCUCCUAAGGGAAAGCUGAAAUGCGUUUAAAUGGGGUUCUGAUGCCGCGGGCAACCGCGACCACUCUCCCCGUCCCGAAAGGGAAACAGGUUGAUAUUCCUGUGCCGAUAGUAAUUUGGGUAUUUGAGAUGGUAACAUAUAUAUAAAUGAACUCCUUUACGUAGGUCUUACACUCGGGGUGCGUUUUCUUUGCACUUUAACUUUAUAGCCGACCUCGGAAUCAAUUUAGUUGGAGAAGAGGUUUGCUGAAUUCAAUUCGGGGUAAUCUGCUAUGAGCGGAGCAAUCUACUCUUGCAUGAUUCCCCGUUUUGAGUAAUAGUAAUUCAUUUUUAUGGAUUAUCCGAAGCCGUAAGGACUACCCUUGAAAAAAGGAGGGAACAGCAAGAAAUGGGUUUACUCAUUCCUUGUCGCCCUGAUUUACUUGUAUGAGCGUACCAACAACCGCAUCAGGUCUCCUAGGUUAACAGCCUCUGGUUAAAUAGAAAAAAGUAAGUAAGGGAAGUCGGCAAAAUAGAUCCGUAACUUCGGGAAAAGGAUUGGCUCUGAGGACAUAUGAGUAGAGCAGUUUAAAUUAACGUUUGAAAAAUGAUUUAAAGAAAGCACCUUGGUUCGCCAUCGUGUUUUUAUUUUAUUUCGUUUAUCUCAUGUUUAUUUUAUUCUAUCCCUCUACUCGCCGCUAUUUAAGCGUCACUUCGGUGGCGUUUUUAUGGCAUUAUCAUGUUAACUCAGAACUGAAACGGACAAGGGGAAUCCGACUGUUUAAUUAAAACAUAGCAUUGUGAAAGCCACAAAUGGUAUUAACACAAUGUGAUUUCUGCCCAGUGCUUUGAAUGUCAACUUGAUGAAAUUCAAUCAAGCGCAGGUAAACGGCGGGAGUAACUAUGACUCUCUUAAGGUAGCCAAAUGCCUCGUCAUCUAAUUAGUGACGCGCAUGAAUGGAUUAACGAGAUUCCCACUGUCCCUACUUGCUAUCUAGCGAAACCACAGCCAAGGGAACGGGCUUGGCCAAAUCAGCGGGGAAAGAAGACCCUGUUGAGCUUUACUCUAGUCUGGCUUUGUGAAACGACUUAAGAGGUGUAGCAUAAGUGGGAGCAGAGAUUGAAAUAUAUUUUUGCGACAGUGAAAUACCACUACUUUUAAAGUUGUUUUACUUAUCUAUUUAUAGGGAAAUAUAUUUACGUUUGCCAGCUUGCUGGUCGUGCGUAUCUGAUAUUAUUUGAGUUUGAUGAGAUCCGCAAGGAUCCCAUUUCUCUCCCGCUUCUAUGGAGACAUAGCCAGGUGGGGAGUUUGACUGGGGCGGUACAUCUGUUAAACAAUAACGCAGAUGUCCAAAGACAAGC
rnacentral:rRNA from 1 species